CGCNAGCCUGAUGCAGCAACGCCGCGUGAGGGAUGACGGCCUUCGGGUUGUAAACCUCUUUUAGUAGGGAAGAAGCGAAAGUGACGGUACCUGCAGAAAAAGCACCGGCUAACUACGUGCCAGCAGCCGCGGUAAUACGUAGGGUGCAAGCGUUGUCCGGAAUUAUUGGGCGUAAAGAGCUCGUAGGCGGCUUGUCGCGUCUGCUGUGAAAUCCCGGGGCUCAACCCCGGGCCUGCAGUGGGUACGGGCAAGCUAGAGUGCGGUAGGGGAGAUUGGAAUUCCUGGUGUAGCGGUGGAAUGCGCAGAUAUCAGGAGGAACACCGAUGGCGAAGGCAGAUCUCUGGGCCGCUACUGACGCUGAGGAGCGAAAGCAUGGGGAGCGAACAGGAUUAGAUACCCUGGUAGUCCAUGCCGUAAACGUUGGGAACUAGAUGUAGGGCCUGUUCCACGGGUUCUGUGUCGUACCUAACGCAUUAAGUUCCCCGCCUGGGGAGUACGGCCGCAAGGCUAAAAACUCAAAGGAAUUGACGGGGGCCCGCACAAAGCGGCGGNACAUGCGGAAUUAAUUCGAUGCAACGCGAAAAAACCUUNACCAAGGCNUUGACAUAACCCGAAAAC
rnacentral:rRNA from 1 species